rnacentral:rRNA from 1 species
UACGGAGGGGGCUAGCGUUGUUCGGAAUUACUGGGCGUAAAGCGCACGUAGGCGGCUUUGUAAGUUAGAGGUGAAAGCCCAGGGCUUAACCCUGGAAUUGCCUUUAAGACUGCAUCGCUCGAAUUGUGGAGAGGUGAGUGGAAUUCCGAGUGUAGAGGUGAAAUUCGUAGAUAUUAGGAAGAACACCAGUGGCGCAAGCGGCGCCCUGGCCGUGACCUGACACUGAGC